GAGGGAAGUAGAGGAGGGUUUGGAGAAGUGCUGUGGUAGGCUAAGAAGACCAAGACCCUAGGUUCACCCAAGAAGUACUCGUAUGGCUCUGUGAUGGGGUCCACUCACUGCAGGUCCUUUUGACAACUUAUUCGGAGCCUGGCACCAACUCUCCCAUAUAGAGAAUAACACAGCUUUGGUUUCUAAGUCAUUUGCCAGAGUUCUAAACCUACAAUCAGCAGAAUGGCUGCAGCAACCUCCUGGGACAUGGGCCUCCACCCUGCCUCACCCCAAAUCCUGAGCCUCAAGAAGUUGCUGUGUAUUGAAGACAAAGUUUUUCCCUUAUCAGAGAGAAUAUUUAUACAGUCUUCUUUGUCUGCUCAUUUGUAUUACAUCUGUGGCACUUGUACCACCUACCAAUUAAUAAAGAUUGGGUAGCUUU